UUUGUUUGUGUCCUUUACAUGCGGUUUGAUCAUAUUUCAGAUAGUGUUAUUGUUCCUUCUAUAAAAUGUUCGCAAAAUUGAUACACUUUCAAGUUCAGUUGUAGCUGUAGAACAGACAACAUCGAAAAUGUAUACUAUUCAGGUUUUCAUUUCCCUGAUAUUCUGCGCCAUUGUAUCUUCCAAUCCACUAUCAUCGACAGAACUCUUAGACCAGCAGCAAGUACAGAUUGACCAUAGGAAAGAACCUUUAUUUAUGGAAAGUUUGGAAUGGUUGAAGUUAUUAUUCAAUCAAAUCGUGAAGAUGCUUCUCCAGUUUCCAUUACGUGUACCAGAAAAUCCAGAUAUAGAACAUUUUCCACUCCUAGCUUCUACAGAAAAAAAAAUUCAUGAAUAUUAGCCACAACCAUGUAUUUUAAAUUAAUUGGUAUUUAUUGUAUGGAUAAAUCCUUCUACAGAUUAUAAUUUUUUAUUAUUAUAGUUAGUUCAAUACGAAAAAAAUGGUAUUUAUCUAUA